ensembl:lncRNA
AGCGCUGGCACAGCCUCAGCGCUGUCUCUCCAGCAUUCUGCCCCCACAUCAAUAGGCUGGCAGUGGGCAAGGUCUUGGGAGGGGACACAGCUAGGCCAGCUGACCCAAACUGACCAAAGGAGUAUUCCAUACCAUAUGACGUCUACUUGGAUAUAAAAGCUAGGAAAAGGAGGAGGAAGUGGGGAACAUUCAUUAUUCACAACGUUUGCCUUCCAGAGCAACUGCUACGUGUCCUGAAGCCCUGCUUCCCAGGAAGUGGCCAGACAUCACUUGCUGAUGGGAAGUAGAGAAUAAAAUCUUUGGGGUUUUUUUCCUUUGCUUGUGCAUCCUCAACCUUUUGCUUUUGCUUUGCUGACCUGCCUUAUCUUAACCUACGAGUCGUUUUCCAUCUUAUUUUUCUCUCCCUUGUCCAGCUGAGAAGGGGGGCGUGAUAGUGUGGCUUGGUGGGCACCUGGCAUCCAGCCCAACACCCACCACAAGUCCUCUACACACCACAGCCCUUUCUGGUGCCUAAUGUGGGGUGAGACAACAACACCUAUUUAUAUAUAUUGCAUGCUAUAGCGGUAUUAGUUAUCCAGUAGCAAGCUCCUGUGGGGAACGCAGUUUGUCAGCUGCACUGCUUAUCUCUUUAUUUUGCUGAGUUUGGGAACAUGUUAAUACAAACAAUGGCUCUGUGCUUUUCCCUGGCAUUGAUGGCCUUGCUGUGCUGGGGGAGCUAUCUUGUGGAGACAAUGAGGGAAUACAUCUCUCUCUUCCUACCCGGGAUUGAUGUGGAUUCUUUUAUUAUGCAGGCUGCCACAGUCCUUGCUCAUCCUUACACGAUCUGUUUAAUUAGUACUGUAAGCAUAUCAUGGGCUUUGUGGAAUCUGGUGUCAUGGUGGUGUACGAGAAAACAAAUUUUGAGUGAGGUGAUACCAAAAUGUUCCCCGAAGAAGUCAGUUCCUGGGUGGCAGGGUGUGUGGAAGGAUUUGGGCAGGUUCCUAGGGCGGUUAUCACCUCCCAUUGCCUGGGAGUUUACACCUGAGCAGGUAAUCAACCCUGACAAACUGACCCGUCAGCUGAUAGAGGGGUGCCUUGCCCAAGCUGAUGAAAACCAGCAGCUUCUGGCCCUGUGCUGGGGCCUGGCCUGUGCCUACCGAGCCAUGGUUCUACACUCUCAGAGGACUGUGACCGAGGCAGGGACCCAAACUGUGCUUGAGAAGAUGAUGGUUGAGACAGGAACCCAGACCACAACAACUACUGUAACUGUCCCUGUAAUGGAAAAGAAAAGGUGGACAAGGAGAGCUACAAGUCUUUAUCGUCAAUUAGAAAGGGAGGAAGAAGAAGAAGAGGAAAAAAAAGAAGAGGAGAAAGAAAAAGAAAAGGAAGAAAAAGAAGAAAAAGCAAAGGAAGAAAAAGCAAAGGAAGAAAAAGCAGAAAAAGCAAAGGAAGAAAAAGCAAAGGAAGAAAAAGCAGAAAAAGAAAAGGAAGAAAAAGCAAAAGAAGAAAAAGAAGAAAAAGAAAAGGAAGAAAAAGCAAAAGAAGAAAAAGAAGAAAAAGAAGAAAAAACAAAGGAAGAAAAAGAAGAAAAAGAAAAGGAAGAAAAAGCAAAAGAAGAAAGAGAAGAAAAAACAAAGGAAGAAAAAAAAGAAAAAGAAAAGGAAGAAAAAGAAGAAAAAGAAAAGGAAGAAAAGGAAGAAGAUAAAAAAGAAGAGGAAGAAGAAAAAGGAGAAAAGGAAGAAGAAAAAGAAAAAGAGGAAGAAGAAGAAAAAGAAAAAGAGGAAGAAGAAGAAAAGGAUGAAGAAGAAGAAAAAGAAAAACAAGAAGAAUCAUCAGGAAAGGAAGGGUCUGAUCAAGAAACCAGUCCUGCAACAAAUAAAUCAAAGAAAGGAGUGAAGGAAUUCAAACAGGAGACAGAAAUUACCCAGUCUCUGACAUCAUCAGAACUUCAAGACUUGCAGAAAGAUUACAGCCGCCAGCCAGGUGAGCGGAUUUCUGCUUGGCUGCUUCGAUGCUGGGAUUGUGGGGCUAAUGGUCACCUACUGGAAGGUAGGGAAGCCCAACAGCUGGGAUCCCUUGCUAGAGAUCGGGGAAUUGAAAGAGGAAUUGGAAAAGAGACAGCAAUUUGCAGUCUCUGGAGACGACUUCUCUCAAGUGUGAAGGCAAGACAUCCGUUUAAGGAAGAUCUUGUGAACUCCCCAGGAAAGUGGACCACUGCAGAUGAAGGUAUCCAAUACCUGA